rnacentral:rRNA from 1 species
GACGAACGCUGGCGGCGUGCUUAACACAUGCAAGUCGAACGGAAAGGCCCUGCUUUUGUGGGGUGCUCGAGUGGCGAACGGGUGAGUAACACGUGAGUAACCUGCCCUUGACUUUGGGAUAACUUCAGGAAACUGGGGCUAAUACCGGAUAGGAGCUCCUGCUGCAUGGUGGGGGUUGGAAAGUUUCGGCGGUUGGGGAUGGACUCGCGGCUUAUCAGCUUGUUGGUGGGGUAGUGGCUUACCAAGGCUUUGACGGGUAGCCGGCCUGAGAGGGUGACCGGCCACAUUGGGACUGAGAGACGGACCAGACUCCUACGGGAGGCAGCAGUGGGGAAUAUUGCACGAUGGGCGGAAGCCUGAUGCAGCAACGCCGCGUGCGGGAUGACGGCCUUCGGGUUGUAAACCGCUUUCGCCUGUGACGAAGCGUGAGUGACGGUAAUGGGUAAAGAAGCACCGGCUAACUACGUG